AUACGGAGGGAGCAAGCGUUAUUCGGAAUCACUGGGCGUAAAGGACGCGUAGGCGGGUUUGUAAGUCAGGUGUGAAAUCCUACAGCUCAACUGUAGAACUGCACUUGAAACUACAGACCUAGAGUAUGGAAGGGGCAGAUGGAAUUAGUGGUGUAGGGGUAAAAUCCGUAGAUAUCACUAGGAAUACCGAAAGCGAAGGCGAUCUGCUGGGACAUUACUGACGCUGAGGCGUGAAAGCGUGGGGAGCAAACAGGAUUAUAAACCCUAGUAGUCC
rnacentral:rRNA from 1 species